GGGAGGUAGUGACAAUAAAUAACAAUACGGGGUUCUUUAGGAUUUCGUAAUUGGAAUGAGUACAAUUUAAAUCUCUUAACGAGGAACAAUUGGAGGGCAAGUCUGGUGCCAGCAGCCGCGGUAAUUCCAGCUCCAAUAGCGUAUAUUAAAGUUGUUGCAGUUAAAAAGCUCGUAGUUGAAUUUCGGGGUCAGUAGGUUGGUCAUGCCACUGGUAUGUACUGGCCUCACUGAUUCCUCCUUCCUGAUGAGCCGUAAUGCCAUUAAUUUGGUGUUGCGAGGAAUCUGGACUGUUACUUUGAAAAAAUUAGAGUGUUUAAAGCAGGCUAACGCUUGAAUACAUUAGCAUGGAAUAAUGAAAUAGGACGUUCGAUCUUAUUUUGUUGGUUUCUAAGAUUGACGUAAUGAUUAAUAGGGAUAGUUGGG
rnacentral:rRNA from 1 species